CCAUUGCCCCCCCUUGGGUACCACAUCCCCAUUGUCCCCUUGGGUACCACUUCCCAUUGCCCCCCCUUGGGUACCACAUCCCCUUGGGUACCACAUCCCCAUUGCCCCCUUUGGGUACCACAUCCCAUUGCCCCCUUGGGUACCACAUCCCCAUUGCCCCCUUGGGUACCACAUCCCCAUUGUCCCCAUGGGUACCACAUCCCCAUCCCAUGGGAUCCAGGCAGUGCAUCCCAGUUCCCUGUGGGAGCUGCUUUGCUUUGCAGGGGGAAACCUUUCCUGUUCUACUUUGACAUAGUGAAGUGUGCCAGCCCCUUGGUGCUGCUGGAGUUCCAGUGCCCGACCACACAGAUCUGUGUCAGUGAAUGCCCAGACAGAUUCCAGACCUUCCUGGAUGCCUCCAGCUCAUCCCAAGGGCUGGAAUACUACCGCAGGUUCUGCGUGCCCGAGUUCACCGGCCGGCAGAAGACUCCCAUCCAGGUGCUGAAGGACAAGGAAUGUCCGGCCGUGCUUAUCCCCAGCACCCCACUGGCUCGCCGAUGCUUCCCGGCCAUCCAUGCCAAGAAAGGCGUCAUCAUGGUUGGCAACGAGACCACCUACAACGAUGGCCGUGGCCAGCAGAGGAACGUCACCGACCUGCUGGAGGGAGCCAAGAAAGCCAACGUGGUCCUGGAAGCCAGACAGUUGGCCAUGAAGAUCUUCGAGGACUACACGGUCUCCUGGUACUGGAUCAUCAUAGGCCUGGUCAUCGCCAUGGUCGCCAGCUUGGUCUUCAUCGUCCUGCUCCGGUUCCUGGCCGGGACCAUGGUGUGGGUGAUGAUCGUGAUGGUGAUCCUGGUGCUGGGCUAUGGAAUCUUCCACUGUUACCUGGAAUAUGCGAAGCUGAAGGGGGAAAAGGGCUCGGACAUCUCCCUGCAGGACCUGGGCUUCCAGACCGACCUCCGUGUCUACCUCCACCUGCGGCAGACGUGGUUGGCCUUCAGUGAGUGCCCUUCCUCCUCCUCCUCCUCCUCCUCCUCCUCCUCCUCCUCCUUCUCGGGAUGCAGGGAUGCACACCCCGAGCAGUGGUACCCACAUCCCUGCAUCCUGAGCAGUGGUACCCAAUGUGCGCAUCCCU
rnacentral:lncRNA from 14 species